rnacentral:rRNA from 1 species
GACGAACGCUGGCGGCGUGCCUAACACAUGCAAGUCGAACGGAGAAUUCAGCAAUGGAUUCUUAGUGGCGAACGGGUGAGUAACGCGUAGACAACCUGCCUUUUAGAUGGGGACAACACUGCGAAAGUGGUGCUAAUACCGAAUGUUGUAACUUUGCUGCAUGGUAAAGUUACUAAAGAUGGUCUCUAUAUAAAAGCUAUCACUAAAAGAUGGGUCUGCGUCUGAUUAGCUAGUUGGUGAGGUAAUGGCUCACCAAGGCGACGAUCAGUAGCCGGUCGGAGAGGAUGAACGGCCACACUGGGACUGAGACACGGCCCAGACUCCUACGGGAGGCAGCAGUGGGGAAUCUUCCGCAAUGGACGAAAGUCUGACGGAGCAACGCCGCGUGAGUGAAGAAGGCCUUCGGGUUGUAAAGCUCUUUCGGACAGAAAGAAAUCUUCCGGGCUAAUACCUCGGAAGGAUGACGGUACUGUAAGAAGAAGCACCGGCUAACUACGUGCCAGCCGCCGCAGUAA